rnacentral:rRNA from 1 species
CUGCUGCCUUCCGUAGGAGUUUGGGCCGUGUCUCAGUCCCAAUGUGGCCGUUCACCCUCUCAGGCCGGCUACUGAUCGUCGCCUUGGUGGGCCGCUACCCCGCCAACCAGCUAAUCAGACGCGGGUCCAUCUUACACCACCGGAGUUUUUAAGACGAAGUCAUGCGACUCCCUCUGUUAUGCGGUAUUAGCACCUAUUUCUAAGUGUUAUCCCCCAGUGUAAGGCAGGUUACCCACGCGUUACUCACCCGUCCGCCACUAAGAUAA